UACGUAGGGGGCAAGCGUUGUCCGGAUUUAUUGGGCGUAAAGAGCGUGUAGGCGGCUAUACAGGUCCGUUGUGAAAACUCGAGGCUCAACCUCGAGACGCCGAUGGAAACCGUAUGGCUAGAGUCCGGAAGAGGAGAGCGGAAUUCCUGGUGUAGCGGUGAAAUGCGCAGAUAUCAGGAGGAACACCCGUGGCGAAGGCGGCUCUCUGGGACGGUACUGACGCUGAGACGCGAAAGCGUGGGGAGCGAACAGG
rnacentral:rRNA from 1 species